rnacentral:rRNA from 1 species
GAUGAACGCUGGCGGCGUGCCUAAUACAUGCAAGUCGAGCGAACGGACGAGAAGCUUGCUUCUCUGAUGUUAGCGGCGGACGGGUGAGUAACACGUGGAUAACCUACCUAUAAGACUGGGAUAACUUCGGGAAACCGGAGCUAAUACCGGAUAAUACUUUGAACCGCAUGGUUCAAAAGUGAAAGACGGUCUUGCUGUCACUUAUAGAUGGAUCCGCGCUGCAUUAGCUAGUUGGUAAGGUAACGGCUUACCAAGGCAACGAUGCAUAGCCGACCUGAGAGGGUGAUUGGCCACACUGGAACUGAGACACGGUCCAGACUCCUACGGGAGGCAGCAGUAGGGAAUCUUCCGCAAUGGGCGAAAGCCUGACGGAGCAACGCCGCGUGAGUGAUGAAGGUCUUCGGAUCGUAAAACUCUGUUAUUAGGGAAGAACAUAUGUGUAAGUAACUGUGCACAUCUUGACGGUACCUAAUCAGAAAGCCACGGCUAACUACGUGCCAGCAGCCGCGGUAAUACGUAGGUGGCAAGCGUUAUCCGGAAUUAUUGGGCGUAAAGCGCGCGUAGGCGGUUUUUUAAGUCUGAUGUGAAAGCCCACGGCUCAACCGUGGAGGGUCAUUGGAAACUGGAAAACUUGAGUGCAGAAGAGGAAAGUGGAAUUCCAUGUGUAGCGGUGAAAUGCGCAGAGAUAUGGAGGAACACCAGUGGCGAAGGCGACUUUCUGGUCUGUAACUGACGCUGAUGUGCGAAAGCGUGGGGAUCAAACAGGAUUAGAUACCCUGGUAGUCCACGCCGUAAACGAUGAGUGCUAAGUGUUAGGGGGUUUCCGCCCCUUAGUGCUGCAGCUAACGCAUUAAGCACUCCGCCUGGGGAGUACGACCGCAAGGUUGAAACUCAAAGGAAUUGACGGGGACCCGCACAAGCGGUGGAGCAUGUGGUUUAAUUCGAAGCAACGCGAAGAACCUUACCAAAUCUUGACAUCCUUUGACAACUCUAGAGAUAGAGCCUUCCCCUUCGGGGGACAAAGUGACAGGUGGUGCAUGGUUGUCGUCAGCUCGUGUCGUGAGAUGUUGGGUUAAGUCCCGCAACGAGCGCAACCCUUAAGCUUAGUUGCCAUCAUUAAGUUGGGCACUCUAAGUUGACUGCCGGUGACAAACCGGAGGAAGGUGGGGAUGACGUCAAAUCAUCAUGCCCCUUAUGAUUUGGGCUACACACGUGCUACAAUGGACAAUACAAAGGGCAGCGAAACCGCGAGGUCAAGCAAAUCCCAUAAAGUUGUUCUCAGUUCGGAUUGUAGUCUGCAACUCGACUACAUGAAGCUGGAAUCGCUAGUAAUCGUAGAUCAGCAUGCUACGGUGAAUACGUUCCCGGGUCU